rnacentral:tRNA from 1 species
AAGAUAUUAGUAAAAUGCAAAUUACACCACCUUGUCAAGGUGGCAUUACAGGUUAAAUCCCUGUAUGUCUUA